rnacentral:rRNA from 1 species
GGUUAAGUCCGUAACGAGCGCAACCCUGUCCUUAGUUACCAGCACGUUAUGGUGGGCACUCUAAGGAGAACUGCCGGUGGACAAACCGGAGGAAGGUGGGGAUGACGUCAAGCCAUCAUGGCCCUUACGGCCUGGGCUACACACGUGCUACAAUGGUCGGUACAAAGGGUUGCCAAGCCGCGAGGUGGAGCUAAUCCCAUAAAACCGAUCGUAGUCCGGAUCGCAGUCUGCAACUCGACUGCGUGAAGUCGGAAUCGCUAGUAAUCGUGAAUCAGAAUGUCACGGUGAAUACGUUCCCGGGCCUU